CUGGUUUUCAUGUGCAAAAAUGGCGUGGGGAGAAUUUUGCCGAAGUGGCAAAAUGUUUCCCCCCAAAAAAGAUCAACAAUUUUGGUGGUUUUCUAAAAAGAAAAAAAAGCUCAGCUUUGCAGGGGUGUCAGGAAUUUUACUUUUUGAAAUAUGGCAACCCUAAAAAGGGGUGGUGCCGUCCCAUAGAAUCGCACGGGAAAGCUGCAAUCCUGGGCACGUUUCUUUGGGAAUAAGCCCAUUGAAGUCAACAUUUCCUGCUGAGUAAAUAUGCAGAGGGGAUCCCACUGCACUGCAGAGCAAAGCCUCUGCCCAUUUUCCUAGGUGCGGAGCAAAGCAAACAAACGCAAGGAAGGUAUUUGUUCUGUCCGUUUACAACAUCAAAUUCAACAUCACUUCACGAGUGCCUUGUGGUCAGAAAGCCUCUCCUAAUCUAAGUGAGGAUUGUGGUCCGUGCGGAAUCUGGUGGCGAUAGCGUAUUCCAGAGUACAAGGUUGCGCUAUUGUGCUCGUGUCGCACAGCCACCCUUCAAACGUGGCCAGAAUCCGCGCGAGAGCCACGACUCUUUGCCCUACUUCUUUCUCGCCCUCUCCGGGACUCUUCCUGAGGCGGAAAGGCGACGCGCCACCAAACCCCACUGAGGCGAGUGGGACCUUUCCGACCACGAGCGCCUCCAAACGCCCUUUCCUCGUCCCCAGUCAGUACGAGGCAAGGAAGGCGCCUCUCCUGCCUCCCUCCCUCCCUGUCAGAGCCCCCUCGAAAGAGCUCGAAGGGCCGAAUGGACGCGGAGCCCGAGAGCGCGGCUCGGACGCCCCUGGCUCUCUGCCCCUCCCGCCCGGCGAGCCAAGAGGGGCGGCCCCGGCCAUGCCAGUCCCCUGUCUCCGCCCCUCGGCUGGGCCGCUCCUCCUCCUCAGCGCCAGCGCCAGAGAGGCAGCCGGAGAGCGCCAAGCCGAUCGCCUUCGGAGAGUUUCGCGGAGCAGCUGUGCGGGAGGGGGCGGGCGGCACGGAAGGCAGAGACGGGGGUCCGGCGAGACCCCCGAGACCCUGCGCUCCUUUUCCUGCUCCUCGCACGAACUUAUGCAUAAGAAACUGCUGUACAGGAAUACAUGCCACUGAGAGAAGCAGACCAAGCUGAAACACAUCUGGCAUUCCAG
rnacentral:lncRNA from 1 species